rnacentral:rRNA from 1 species
AGGCAAGUGGCGUCAACCGUACCUGGUAAGACGGCCCCGAAUAACCGUGAAUGGAGCUUAAGAAGUAUCGNUGGAAGGAGGGAACCCGGAAAGUUUCCCCGGGGUGUAGCGGGGUGAAAAGAGCCGGUUAGAAUAUCUGGGAGGGAAACAACCAAGUGGNCGAAAGGCAGGCUGUUCACAUGGCAACAAAGACUGGACGGCUCAAUGGUUGCGAAAAGCUAGGGUAGGCGAACGGGAAGNUUAGAUAACCCCCGGUAGGUCACUAGACACGUUAAACCGAUGGAAUANUGGGUGUGGGUGCACGCAAGGGCAUCUGUGCCGGAGUGAAAAAGCGUUAAGUAUCCACGCCAUGGGGANUACAGGUCGCAAGACAUGAAACUCAAAGGAAGACGGGGGCCCGCACAAGCGGUGGAGCACGAGGUAAAGUCGAUGCAAACCGAAGAACCGACACAGGGAUGACAUAGACGGUCGUAGGCGCGAGAGAGCGCUGACCGCGCAGAGAUGCGCGGAGCCGCCACAGGUGCUGCAUGGCAUGUCGUCAGCUCGUGNCGCGAGAUGUGGGUCAAGUCCAAAACCAGCGGGACCCUAAUCCACCCCCAUUUUCNCAGGUG